AUCUCUGAUUUGGAAUACCGACGCAGUAAUUACGCGGAGGCAGAAGAGUUUGCGCGUUUGGCGAAGGACAAGGCGGUGGAGAUGGGCCUCAACUUGGAAGCUUGUAAAGCGCAGGAACGUCUCGACUUUUUGCGUGCAAUCACGCGCCGUCACACAAUCGACAAUGGUGCGCAGCAAAGUGAAAGUGAAGGAGAGAAUGCCGACAUUAGCUCGUCAGGAGCGGAAUCUGAUUGGCUGACUGCAAUAUUGAAUUGAUGUUAUACUUAUUCCGGCGGUCGAACAUCACGUGUUUUGAAACCAAACACGCAAGUUAUGUCUCUAUCGAAAUGCUUUUCCUGUGAUUGUUUGCUCUUAAAAUACAAUAGAAUAAACUUUAUUUAAACACGAUGAGGUUUAAAGCUGGAAACUGGUGGGGCCGUGUAGAAAAUACUGUGAUAUAUAUUACUUGAAGUCACUGGAAGGUUAUAACUAGCCCCGCCAGUAAUUUAAAAAUGUGAUCGAAGUUCUGAUCAAAUUAAAUUUUGAAAAAAUCUGAAAAUCUCGACUACAAAUUACACUGGGAAGAGAGGUCAGCGUAUCGAUCAUUAUAGAAAUGAUAGAAUCCUGUAUACCCAGUGAAUUAAGAAUUUUUAAGUUAGAGUCUUUAGUUUUACGGGAAAACCGUAGAAGCCCAAGUGAAUGCCUUGUUUAAUUCAUUGAUUAGUUUUUUUUGUGAUUCUUUUGUUAUUUUGCGAGCUGUAGUGGAGAGGUGACAGCUCUCUGUUUAGCUGCUACACUGCAAAUCAUAAGAUUUAGGUUCAAGUGAAGUUAAAGCUGGUUUUCUUUAGCAAUGGAGUCGGAGUCGGAGUCGUCAUGAGAAGCGCAUGCGCAGAGUGUAUUUAAGUAGAUCCAGUAGAGUAUCUUGUUAUUUUGGGUAUGGAUUUCAGAUCCAAUAAAACUGUUGUUAUACGGUUGUAA